rnacentral:rRNA from 1 species
CUGGAGAAUAAGGGGAGGGCAAGCCUGGUGUCAGCCGCCGCGGUAAUACCAGCUCCUCGAGUGGUCGGGGCGAUUAUUGGGCCUAAAGCAUCCGUAGCCGGUUCGGUAGGUCCCCUGCUAAAUCCAAUCGCUCAACGAUUGGCCCGCAGGGGAUACCGCCGGACUAGGAGGCGGGAGAGGUGGACGGUACUCCGCGGGUAGGGGUAAAAUCCUUUGAUCCGCGGAAGACCACCAGUGGCGAAGGCGGUCCACCAGAACGCGCUCGACGGUGAGGGAUGAAAGCUGGGGGAGCGAACCGGAUUAGAUACCCGGGUAGUCCCAGCCGUAAACGAUGCGAGCUAGAUGAUCCAGUCGCAAAUCGCGAUUGGAGUGUCGCAGGGAAGCCGUUAAGCUAGCCGCCUGGGGAGUACGGUCGCAAGACUGAAACUUAAAG